rnacentral:rRNA from 1 species
GACGAACGCUGGCGGCGUGCUUAACACAUGCAAGUCGAACGGAAAGGCCCUGCUUGCAGGGUGCUCGAGUGGCGAACGGGUGAGUAACACGUGGGUGAUCUGCCCCUUACUUUGGGAUAAGUCUGGGAAACUGGGUCCAAUACUGGAUAGGACCAUGCUGUAGGUGGUGUGGUGGAAAGAUUAGUUUCGUUAAGGGAUGAGCUCGCGGCCUAUCAGCUUGUUGGUGGGGUAAUGGCCUACCAAGGCGUCGCCAGGUAGCCGGCCUGAGAGGGUGGACGGCCACAUUGGGACUGAGAUACGGCCCAGACGCCUACGGGAGGCAGCAGUGGGGAAUAUUGCACAAUGGGCGCAAGCCUGAUGCAGCGACGCCGCGUGGGGGAUGACGGCCUUCGGGUUGUAAACUCCUUGCAGCCAUGACGAAGCCCUUGUGGUGACGGUAGUGGUAGAAGAAGCACCGGCUAACUACGUG